rnacentral:rRNA from 2 species
CUUGACAUCCUCUGACAACUCUAGAGAUAGAGCGUUCCCCUUCGGGGGACAGAGUGACAGGUGGUGCAUGGUUGUCGUCAGCUCGUGUCGUGAGAUGUUGGGUUAAGUCCCGCAACGAGCGCAACCCUUGAUCUUAGUUGCCAGCAUUUAGUUGGGCACUCUAAGGUGACUGCCGGUGACAAACCGGAGGAAGGUGGGGAUGACGUCAAAUCAUCAUGCCCCUUAUGACCUGGGCUACACACGUGCUACAAUGGAUGGUACAAAGGGCUGCAAGACCGCGAGGUCAAGCCAAUCCCAUAAAACCAUUCUCAGUUCGGAUUGUAGGCUGCAACUCGCCUACAUGAAGCUGGAAUCGUAGUAAUCGCGUCAGCUGCUGAAACUCAACAAUUGU